CAAUUUACAGCAUAUUCUCUCAUCAGUCAACACUUCAUGCAAGAAUGGAUUUCUGAUUGCUCGCAUGCAUGGGCUUGCACUGCAGAGAAUUACUAAUUCUAUAUAGAAAUUGCACAGGUUCAUAAUUUCUCUUGUUUGAUCUCCUAGCAAAGAAGAAAUAGUUCUGCCAUCUCAAAUAACCCAACUCAGUUGGAGAUGUAACUUUUUG
rnacentral:misc_RNA from 1 species